rnacentral:rRNA from 1 species
AACGAACGCUGGCGGCAGGCUUAACACAUGCAAGUCGAACGGAUCCUUCGGGAUUAGUGGCAGACGGGUGAGUAACGCGUGGGAACGUACCCUUUGCUACGGAAUAACUCAGGGAAACUUGAGCUAAUACCGUAUGUGCCCUACGGGGGAAAGAUUUAUCGGCAAAGGAUCGGCCCGCGUUGGAUUAGCUAGUUGGUGGGGUAAUGGCCUACCAAGGCGACGAUCCAUAGCUGGUCUGAGAGGAUGAUCAGCCACACUGGGACUGAGACACGGCCCAGACUCCUACGGGAGGCAGCAGUGGGGAAUAUUGGACAAUGGGCGCAAGCCUGAUCCAGCCAUGCCGCGUGAGUGAUGAAGGUCUUAGGAUUGUAAAGCUCUUUCACCGGUGAAGAUAAUGACGGUAGCCGGAGAAGAAGCCCCGGCUAACUUCG